GCCGAUGUAGCUCAGUUAGUAGAGCAAUCGCUUCGUAAGCGAUGGGUCGCCAGUGCAACUCUGGCCAUCGGCU
rnacentral:tRNA from 1 species